rnacentral:rRNA from 1 species
CCCUACGGGGUGCACCAGGCGCGAAACCUCUGCAAUAGGCGAAAGCUUGACAGGGUUACUCUGAGUGAUGCCCGCUAAGGGCAUCUUUUGGCACCUCUAAAAAUGGUGCAGAAUAAGGGGUGGGCAAGUCUGGUGUCAGCAGCCGCGGUAA